AGCUUGCUUCUCUGAUGUUAGCGGCGGACGGGUGAGUAACACGUGGAUAACCUACCUAUAAGACUGGGAUAACUUCGGGAAACCGGAGCUAAUACCGGAUAAUAUUUUGAACCGCAUGGUUCAAAAGUGAAAGACGGUCUUGCUGUCACUUAUAGAUGGAUCCGCGCUGCAUUAGCUAGUUGGUAAGGUAACGGCUUACCAAGGCAACGAUGCAUAGCCGACCUGAGAGGGUGAUCGGCCACACUGGAACUGAGACACGGUCCAGACUCCUACGGGAGGCAGCAGUAGGGAAUCUUCCGCAAUGGGCGAAAGCCUGACGGAGCAACGCCGCGUGAGUGAUGAAGGUCUUCGGAUCGUAAAACUCUGUUAUUAGGGAAGAACAUAUGUGUAAGUAACUGUGCACAUCUUGACGGUACCUAAUCAGAAAGCCACGGCUAACUACGUGCCAGCAGCCGCGGUAAUACGUAGGUGGCAAGCGUUAUCCGGAAUUAUUGGGCGUAAAGCGCGCGUAGGCGGUUUUUUAAGUCUGAUGUGAAAGCCCACGGCUCAACCGUGGAGGGUCAUUGGAAACUGGAAAACUUGAGUGCAGAAGAGGAAAGUGGAAUUCCAUGUGUAGCGGUGAAAUGCGCAGAGAUAUGGAGGAACACCAGUGGCGAAGGCGACUUUCUGGUCUGUAACUGACGCUGAUGUGCGAAAGCGUGGGGAUCAAACAGGAUUAGAUACCCUGGUAGUCCACGCCGUAAACGAUGAGUGCUAAGUGUUAGGGGGUUUCCGCCCCUUAGUGCUGCAGCUAACGCAUUAAGCACUCCGCCUGGGGAGUACGACCGCAAGGUUGAAACUCAAAGGAAUUGACGGGGACCCGCACAAGCGGUGGAGCAUGUGGUUUAAUUCGAAGCAACGCGAAGAACCUUACCAAAUCUUGACAUCCUUUGACAACUCUAGAGAUAGAGCCUUCCCCUUCGGGGGACAAAGUGACAGGUGGUGCAUGGUUGUCGUCAGCUCGUGUCGUGAGAUGUUGGGUUAAGUCCCGCAACGAGCGCAACCCUUAAGCUUAGUUGCCAUCAUUAAGUUGGGCACUCUAAGUUGACUGCCGGUGACAAACCGGAGGAAGGUGGGGAUGACGUCAAAUCAUCAUGCCCCUUAUGAUUUGGGCUACACACGUGCUACAAUGGACAAUACAAAGGGCAGCGAAACCGCGAGGUCAAGCAAAUCCCAUAA
rnacentral:rRNA from 1 species